rnacentral:rRNA from 1 species
AGCGUACACGGUGGAUGCCCUGGCAGUCAGAGGCGAUGAAGGACGUGCUAAUCUGCGAAAAGCGUCGGUAAGGUGAUAUGAACCGUUAUAGCCGGCGAUGUCCGAAUGGGGAAACCCAGUGCAAUUCGUUGCACUAUCGUUAACUGAAUACAUAGGUUAACGAGGCGAACCGGGGGAACUGAAACAUCUAAGUACCCCGAGGAAAAGAAAUCAACCGAGAUUCCCCCAGUAGCGGCGAGCGAACGGGGAGCAGCCCGGAGUCUGAAUCAGCUUGUGUGUUAGUGGAAGCGUCUGGAAAGUCGCAGGGUACAGGGUGAUACUCCCGUACACUAAAACACACAGGUUGUGAACUCGAAGAGUAGGGCGGGACACGUGGUAUCCUGUCUGAAUAUGGGGGGACCAUCCUCCAAGGCUAAAUACUCCUGACUGACCGAUAGUGAACCAGUACCGUGAGGGAAAGGCGAAAAGAACCCCGGCGAGGGGAGUGAAAAAGAACCUGAAACCGUGUACGUACAAGCAGUAGGAGCCCACUAGUUGGGUGACUGCGUACCUUUUGUAUAAUGGGUCAGCGACUUAUAUUCUGUAGCAAGGUUAACCGAAUAGGGGAGCCGCAGGGAAACCGAGUCUUAACUGGGCGUUAAGUUGCAGGGUAUAGACCCGAAACCCGGUGAUCUAGCCAUGGGCAGGUUGAAGGUUGGGUAACACUAACUGGAGGACCGAACCGACUAAUGUUGAAAAAUUAGCGGAUGACUUGUGGCUGGGGGUGAAAGGCCAAUCAAACCGGGAGAUAGCUGGUUCUCCCCGAAAGCUAUUUAGGUAGCGCCUCGUGAACUCAUCUUCGGGGGUAGAGCACUGUUUCGGCUAGGGGGUCAUCCCGACUUACCAACCCGAUGCAAACUACGAAUACCGAAGAAUGUUAUCACGGGAGACACACGGCGGGUGCUAACGUCCGUCGUGAAGAGGGAAACAACCCAGACCGCCAGCUAAGGUCCCAAAGUCAUGGUUAAGUGGGAAACGAUGUGGGAAGGCCCAGACAGCCAGGAUGUUGGCUUAGAAGCAGCCAUCAUUUAAAGAAAGCGUAAUAGCUCACUGGUCGAGUCGGCCUGCGCGGAAGAUGUAACGGGGCUAAACCAUGCACCGAAGCUGCGGCAGCGACGCUUAUGCGUUGUUGGGUAGGGGAGCGUUCUGUAAGCCGUUGAAGGUGGCCUGUGAGGGUUGCUGGAGGUAUCAGAAGUGCGAAUGCUGACAUAAGUAACGAUAAUGCGGGUGAAAAACCCGCACGCCGGAAGACCAAGGGUUCCUGUCCAACGUUAAUCGGGGCAGGGUGAGUCGACCCCUAAGGCGAGGCCGAAAGGCGUAGUCGAUGGGAAACAGGUUAAUAUUCCUGUACUUGGUGUUACUGCGAAGGGGGGACGGAGAAGGCUAUGUUGGCCGGGCGACGGUUGUCCCGGUUUAAGCAUGUAGGCGGAUGUUCCAGGUAAAUCCGGAACGUUAUUAACGCUGAGGUGUGAUGACGAGGCACUACGGUGCUGAAGUGACAAAUGCCCUGCUUCCAGGAAAAGCCUCUAAGCAUCAGGUAACAUCAAAUCGUACCCCAAACCGACACAGGUGGUCAGGUAGAGAAUACCAAGGCGCUUGAGAGAACUCGGGUGAAGGAACUAGGCAAAAUGGUGCCGUAACUUCGGGAGAAGGCACGCUGAUGGUAAGUGAAGUGACUUGCUCAUGGAGCUGAAAUCAGUCGAAGAUACCAGCUGGCUGCAACUGUUUAUUAAAAACACAGCACUGUGCAAACACGAAAGUGGACGUAUACGGUGUGACGCCUGCCCGGUGCCGGAAGGUUAAUUGAUGGGGUUAUCCUCGCGGAGAAGCUCUUGAUCGAAGCCCCGGUAAACGGCGGCCGUAACUAUAACGGUCCUAAGGUAGCGAAAUUCCUUGUCGGGUAAGUUCCGACCUGCACGAAUGGCGUAAUGAUGGCCAGGCUGUCUCCACCCGAGACUCAGUGAAAUUGAACUCGCUGUGAAGAUGCAGUGUACCCGCGGCAAGACGGAAAGACCCCGUGAACCUUUACUAUAGCUUGACACUGAACACUGGUCCUUGAUGUGUAGGAUAGGUGGGAGGCUUUGAAGUGUGGACGCCAGUCUGCAUGGAGCCGUCCUUGAAAUACCACCCUUUAAUGGCUGGUGUUCUAACGUUGGCCCCUAAUCGGGGUUGCGGACAGUGUCUGGUGGGUAGUUUGACUGGGGCGGUCUCCUCCUAAAGAGUAACGGAGGAGCACGAAGGUCAGCUAAUCCUGGUCGGACAUCAGGAGGUUAGUGCAAUGGCAUAAGCUGGCUUGACUGCGAGCGUGACGGCGCGAGCAGGUGCGAAAGCAGGUCAUAGUGAUCCGGUGGUUCUGAAUGGAAGGGCCAUCGCUCAACGGAUAAAAGGUACUCCGGGGAUAACAGGCUGAUACCGCCCAAGAGUUCAUAUCGACGGCGGUGUUUGGCACCUCGAUGUCGGCUCAUCACAUCCUGGGGCUGAAGUAGGUCCCAAGGGUAUGGCUGUUCGCCAUUUAAAGUGGUACGCGAGCUGGGUUUAGAACGUCGUGAGACAGUUCGGUCCCUAUCUGCCGUGGGCGCUGGAGAAUUGAGGGGGGCUGCUCCUAGUACGAGAGGACCGGAGUGGACGCAUCACUGGUGUUCGGGUUGUCAUGCCAAUGGCAUUGCCCGGUAGCUAAAUGCGGAAGAGAUAAGUGCUGAAAGCAUCUAAGCACGAAACUUGCCCCGAGAUGAGUUCU